CAGCAGCCGCGGUAAUACGGAGGGUGCAAGCGUUAAUCGGAAUUACUGGGCGUAAAGCGUGCGUAGGCGGCUUCUUAAGUCGGAUGUGAAAUCCCUGAGCUUAACUUAGGAAUUGCAUUCGAUACUGGGAAGCUAGAGUAUGGGAGAGGAUGGUAGAAUUCCAGGUGUAGCGGUGAAAUGCGUAGAGAUCUGGAGGAAUACCGAUGGCGAAGGCAGCCAUCUGGCCUAAUACUGACGCUGAGGUACGAAAGCAUGGGGAGCAAACAGGAUUAGAUACCCGUGUAGUCCCUGUCUCUUAUAC
rnacentral:rRNA from 1 species